AAAACCAGCCCAUUUCCACUUUCUCGCAUCUCUGUCUUUGUCUGUCUUAUGGGGUGUGUCCCCCCAUGGCCCGAGCGCAGGGUGAAGAGUAUCUGGCAGCUGCUUGACACAGGCUGAUGAUAUUCCAGGCCCCCUUGGCGAGUCCGCUGGAGUCACUGAGCAGCAGCCCUACACGUGGAGUGGGGAUGGCUCUGGCCUUCACCCCCCCAUGCCCCUCACUCCAACAUCCCCUCCUCACCUGGAAAGAUGGGCCCUCUGGCCGGGAAGGUCUGUGUUGAGGUCCGCAGAGCAGAAGCCUCUUGCACAGGCGAGUGUGUGUGUGUUGCAGGGCGGGAGCGGUCCCAGCCUGCCCCCACAGCAAGACCCAAAGUGCUCGCCUGGCUCCGGUCCAGAGGGGGGCCAGCCUGGGCCACUCCUGGCUUCCUGGUAUGUGGCCACUGAGACCGGCCACACAGGAACAUGGCCCGUGGAGAUGGGCAGCCCGAGUAGUAUCCCAUCCAAGAGAAGCAGACAGGGCCUCCCGUUGAGACAUUUGUGACUUGGGGCUGGGAUGGCAGAGCUGAAGCGGAGAGCAGGCACAGCCUGAGGCGCAGGGAAGGCUCUGCAGAGGAGCCACAUUUGCCAAUGGAACUUGAAGGCAAGGGAGUGCCCACCAGCUAGGGAAUUGACUGUGUGCUUGGUGCUGGUUGUGCAGCCCCUGGGUCCAUCCUCUGGGCUCCUUGGACCUGACUCACCGUAGACCAGCAAUACGACCUUGGCCAAGUCUCCUCCCAUUUGGACUCUGGAUCCCACUUGCGUGAGUGGGUUGGCAGGUCUUGGUGGGAGGCCGUGGACGGGGCGGGGCCUUCAGAGAGCCAGCGGGACUGCGACCCUUCGAAAGUGAAAGCAAGAGACAACGAGAAAAUGGCUGUCCUGGGGGUGGGGGGAGAAGCUUGCCUUCCCACGCAGCCUGUCAGCAAAGUGCUGACAGGUAUGAGCCUGUCCCAGCAGUGCCACGGCCCUUUUGCCCGGCUCUUUAAUACCAGCAGCGUCUGUCCUGUAAGGCGGCGCGCCCCCCGUUCCUGCGUGGGCCCUCGGCAGUACCUGAGAGAGGCGGCUCCCCAAAUGCACGUUGUCAGUGGGCCAACCGGCCAAGUGAGGUCGUCUUGUGUUCCAGCAGAGACCCUCGUAUCCUACCACGAGGCUCUGUGUCUGAUGGCCAAUGAGAAGGUGAUGGUGAUGGAUUGUGGCCCCUGCCCCAGCCCCACUAGGAGGGUACACAGGGAACGGCCAAGAACGAGAGGAGGCUCGUGCUCUCCAGGGGUUUGCAGGCCGGGGAAGCGGCUCUCCAGCUGACGGUAACUCAUACAUCACAGCAUAUGUGUUACAGACACCACAAUGAGCACAGAAUGGGGACCUGGGGGAGUACUCUGGAGGACUUCCUGGAAGAAGCUACAUAUCUGAGAGAUCAGGGACAGAGCGUCGACUCCCUCCUCCUUUCGAGACCAGAUUCAGAGCCCCUGAACUCAGGCCUCUUCCUGCCUCCGCUCUUGGCAUCGGAGCCCUGCAGUUGUUCACCAGGAGUUGACGCUGCCCAGCCCAGGCACAGACAUCAGAGUUCAAGCCCUGGCUUUGCUGCCUCCAAACCCAUGUGACCUCUGAGCCUCAACUUCCUCAUCUGUAAAAUGGGGAGAGUAAUACUGGUUCCUCCCUCACAUGAGCGUUCGCUGCAGUGAAGGACACAGCCCACCGCCCGGCCUAUAAUAAACACUUAGUAGUAACGUUCA
rnacentral:lncRNA from 1 species